AUUGAACGCUGGCGGCAGGCCUAACACAUGCAAGUCGAGCGGAUGAAGGGAGCUUGCUCCUGGAUUCAGCGGCGGACGGGUGAGUAAUGCCUAGGAAUCUGCCUGGUAGUGGGGGAUAACGUCCGGAAACGGGCGCUAAUACCGCAUACGUCCUGAGGGAGAAAGAGGGGGAUCUUCGGACCUCAAGCUAUCAGAUGAGCCUAGGUCGGAUUAGCUAGUUGGUGGGGUAAAGGCCUACCAAGGCGACGAUCCGUAACUGGUCUGAGAGGAUGAUCAGUCACACUGGAACUGAGACACGGUCCAGACUCCUACGGGAGGCAGCAGAGGGGAAUAUUGGACAAUGGGCGAAAGCCUGAUCCAGCCAUGCCGCGUGUGUGAAGAAGGUCUUCGGAUUGUAAAGCACUUUAAGUUGGGAGGAAGGGCAGUAAGUUAAUACCUUGCUGUUUUGACGUUACCAACAGAAUAAGCACCGGCUAACUUCGUG
rnacentral:rRNA from 1 species